AUUAUCUCGUGUCAUUGUUGCGGACUACCGAUCCAACAGAAACAACUCUGAUUCCUUAUGGUUUCUCGAUGGAACCACUCCCUUUCGCAGCGGUUUCGAAAACAAGGAAGCACUAGUAGAUAAAGACUGAAGCUCCCUCCUCAAUUACUGCUCAAUAAUACUUCCAGCCAUGGCAGUCCACACGAAAUAAAAGAAAGGUUAAUGAGUCAAGGGAAUUGAGAGACAACAUUCUAUGCUAUUCUCUUUUAGAUCAGUAGUAAUUUCAAAUUUCUCAAUUUGGCUAUUUAUCAUUCCAUUUACCAAAUGAACCAUGUAAACGAACUUGAUUUAUGGGUAUUAUUCCAUUGAUCAUCUUGCAUCUAGUCAAAAUUUGUAUGU